AACUUUGAGUAAUCGCGGCAUUAAUUUGCUGAGGAAAGUCCAUGCUCGCACAGGCUGAGAUGCUUGUAGUGAUCGUGCUUAGCGAAACAAUAAGCUAAGGCAACUUUAGGUUGACGGCAGAAAAACGAGCUACGGCAAUGCUAUGCUCUAGUAUUCUUGAAAGUGCCACAGUGACGAAGCAAUUUUGGAAACGAAAUUGGUGGAACGCGGUAAACCCCUCGAGCGAGCAACCCAAACUUAUGGUAGGGGCACUCUUACUAGGAAAUGAACGAAAAAAGAGACACAUUUGUGUAGACAGAUGAUUACUGAAAUUUAAUAGAUCCUGCUAUUAAAUGGAACAGAACAUGGCUUACAGAA
rnacentral:RNase_P_RNA from 1 species